AUUUAAUAUACUUAGAACAUGUACAGACAAGGGGAAGCUGAAUGUUUUUGCAAUGUGAUUUCUACCUAGUGCUCUGAAUAUCAAAGUGAAGAAAUUCAACCAAGGACAGGUAAAUGGUAGGAGUAACUAUGACUCUCUUAAGGUAUCCAAAUGCCUCAUCAUCUAAUUAGUGGCACACCUGAAUGGAUUAAUGAGAUUCUCACUAUCCCUAUCCCUAUCUAGAGAAACCACAACUAAGGGAAAGGGCUUGGCAAAAUCAACGGGGAAAGAAGUCCUUGUUGAUCUUGACUCUAGUUUGAAUUUGUGAAAUGACUUGAGAGUUGUAGAAUAAGUUGGAGUUGUUUCCAGUGCAAGUGAAAUACCACUACUUUUAAUGUUAUUUUACUUAUUCUAUGGGGUGGAGACGGGGCAUUACCCCUGUUUUUGGCCUUAAGACAUGUUUUGGUGGAUCGAUCCGGGCAUAAGACAUUUUUAGGUGGGGAUUUUGGAUUGGGAGGCACAUCUGUUAAAAGAUAACACAUGUUUCCUAAGAUGACCUCAACCAGAACAAAAAUAUCAUGUGGAACAAAAGGGUAAAAUCUCUUUUGAUUU
rnacentral:ncRNA from 1 species